GCCUUAUCACGUGACGUAUAGGAUAGGUUACAAACUGAAAGAGAAGUAAAUUACGUACUUUGAUAAAUCACGGAUUCGAGCUAAAAGAGAAAUUGCAAUACGAGUUUAUCAUUGAAAGAUGGCGGUUAGUUUCUGUGUCUUGCUGUUAGUUUGUGCAGUAAUGAUCAAUGGUGAACAAUUCAUCUGGACAUCUCCUACAGAGGAUGGUUUGAUGCAGGUCAAGGAAGGGGAAGAUAUUUCGUUACUAUGGGGAUAUCAAGCAGACUCGUCGUCAAGCAUGGUUCUAAUUAAAACAGAGGAUGUAGUAAUCGGUCAUUGGUUUGAAAAACAAAACAAUUUCACAAUAUUUCCUGUUUUUCAAGGAAGAGUCAUGUUUGAAAGAACGGUCAUCAAACAAGAUCAUCCAGGAUUUUACGCAGAAAAGAUCGAGUUGAAGUUGAUGAAAGCUCAUAGAAAUGAUUUAAAUGUACCGUACACCUGUCAACUCAUCCUUAAAAACUCGAUUGUUAAACAGAAGGACAUCAAAGUGGGUUGUCCAGGCUCGUCAGAUGUAGGAGCCGUCGAUAGACCUAUGUAUGAAAUAGCCCGACCCAAUGUUAAUUUGUUCCGCAUACUUGCUCCCAUAGUUUUUGGUGUGUUGCUCAUUGCUCUGUGUGUCGUUGUUGUCGGGUGUUUCUUACAGAGGAAACGCAGAAGCGACAGGUCUCGAAUCUUCAGACUUGAUCAGGAAAAGGUGAUGAUGAUGUAUAACAACAAGAGCAACAAUGAGGGGCCGGUUUAUUUACCCUCGAGAAACAAGAAAUUUGGUAAGAUGGGUGACCAAGGCGUGAGGUUGAUUUAAUUAGUUGUUUUCAAAUAUCAUGAACACAAACAUUGCUUGAUUAUUUUUAUGUUAAAGUUUUUUUGAGGAAACAUGUUGUAAUUUCAUAUUGUAAACUGGCAGCUAUUUAGUAACUUUACAUAUUGUUUUGUAUUACUAUAUUAUAUUUGUUUGAUAAAUUUAGUAAUUUCUGCCAGUCUGUUAUUUUCGUUCAAUCUAAAUUUUAUUUUUGUAUUAAACACAUUUAACAAAAAAAGGCUUUUCGGUAUUGGUGUUUGUCUAAAAAAAUUUUUGUAAAAAAAUAAUGAGAGGAAAUAAACAGCCAAUGAGAGUGCAAAAUGCUGGUUAGCGCGGAAGGCUAAAGUCAUGCAAGGUAGGCCGGUCUGUUUUAGCACCGAAUCCGGAAUCCCGAAUAACGUGCUGACUAGUAAUUCGUUAUUCACGAAUCAAGAAUAACGAGCUGGCUCGUUAUUCGUUAUUCGAAUCCCGAAUCCCGAAUAACGUGCCAACUUUACGUUGCCAAAGUCACUUCAUUCUAACCCAAUCAGCUAUUUGAAUGAUGCAUUCGUGGUGAUAUUUUCUAAUUACACUUUCGGUUAUUUCGUUGUUUUCCGGACAGUUUUACUCGCUUUUAAAAUGCAUUUUGGCGAAGUAUAGAAAUGAAGAAUUGCAAAUUCCUUUGAUCUAUCGAAAAGAAAUUUUCACCCACCACUAGGUGAAAUAAGACACUGGAUCAAUUUUCCGAAUUUAACACUUUAUUUAACACUGUUGCUAGGUACCGAGAGAGGUAAGUCACGUGACACAAACAUGACCUCUUUUGAUCGAUUUUUUAUAGCCAGGGUAUUCCCCGACAAUUGCAAUGUUUUGAAAAGGAUUUGAAGCAAAUUUAUGAUAAAUCAAUUAGUUUGAAUAUGUUUUUAGUCCAAAGCCUGUCAUUGAGUCAACUGGCGUGGUUUCGAAUCCCCGGUUGUACGUGGCAAGGAGUAGGGUCGCCUGUCCAACCUCGUGGGUUCUUUCCGGGUCCUCCCGUUUCCUCCCACUGCUAAAGACCCCUACGCGCAAGCGAAUUCUUGAAAUAAAAUUAAACCAAAAUGACCUAGUUUGUGUCGAGUGGACGUUAAACCCAAUCUCUCUCUCUCUAUCAACAUGUACAAUUUGAAUAAAGGAAUAAAGACAAUCAAAAUCCC